GUGCGGUGGCUCACGCCUAUAAUCCCAGCACUUUGGCCUAGGUUCUACUUCCUAAAGUUAGCGUUAUUGCUCAAAGUAAAACUUGUGAUCAUAUCACUGCAGGAUAAUACCCAGGUUCCAUAUGCUUCCAUUCAAGGCCUUCAUAAUCCACCUCUAACCUUUGCAGCCUUUUCCCCCAUCAUACGUACCUACACUGGGAUUAUAGAAAACCAUUUAACUCAAAUCCCUUUGCUCUCAUUUGCUUAUGUGAUUUUUUUUCACCAACAGUUUCCUUCACUACAUUCUAACACUAUAGCCAAUAUUCCACUAGUCAAAAGCCAACUGAUUCUUCAAGACCUAGUCAAAACACCAUUUCCUUAAUAAACCUGUCAGAGCCCCCUUUUUUCCCUUUCUCCCCAUCAUUUACUAACGACUCUGUUUUUAAUCCAAUAAUACUGGAUGAUGUCCCCCUCCAAAGGACAUUCAGCAAUAUCUAGGGACCUGUUUGGCUAUUACAGCUGGGGGUGGGAACUACUGGCAGCUAGUGAGUAGAAUUCCAGAUGCUGCUAAACAUCCUACAAUGCACAAAACAGCAACCCCCGACACGCCCAACAAAGAACCAUCAUCCCAAAAUGUCAACAGUACCACAGCUGAGAAACUCUGGGUUAAACAAAUGCAUUUACUACUGCUCCUCCUCCAAGUCCCACUAAACUGAAAGGUAUCAAAAAGGAUCAACAUUUGAAAAAGACCAAAGUAUAGGAGAAGAGACAUCAGUGAGCCAGAGAUCCACAAAUUUUUGCAUAUGGAAAGUGAUGGUGAAACUGGUAACUGACUUAGAGUGAAGAAACCAUUUAACCUAAAUCACUUUGAUUCCUACCUGCUCAUGCGGUUUCUUUGACCCAGAAUUUCCCUCUACAUUCUAAUAUUCCAGCCAAUCUUUCAAUAAUCAAAAUCUAAGGGGUUCUUCAAGACCAGUUAAAAUGCCAAUUCCCUUGUAAAUCUUUCAAAGGCCCCUUUUCUCCCUUCUGUCUAUCAUCCACUGAUAAAUUUAUUUUUCUAGACAUCCAAUAAAAAAUGAUGAAAAAGAUGAAAGUGAAAAGGUAAAGAAAGUGGGAUCUUAGGGCAAGGGGAAGGUGUCAAAAAAGCAAGACAACUCAGAUGGCAGCACCCUGGAAAGGCUCUGAAACUGGAAGCUCCCCUUGGCAAUUACUUAGUGAGGGUAGGACUGAAUAUCAGGAUUGGUUCAAAUUGUAAUGAACAGUAGUCAGAUCCUCAGAUGCCUACCUUCACCCUAAAGAGUCAGGAAGCUCCCCCACUGGGUUUAUUCUCCAGAGUAGCCAAACCAGAGGGUUCUGUGAAGGAUAGAAGAAGGGAAGCAGGAGCACCUUGUUGAAGUCAAAAGGGUACCAAGUGCAUACUGAACAAUGAGACCCACAACUGCCUUCCCUCACUUUAUAGAACUUACCAUUAAAAAAAAUAAAUAUAGAAAUACUGGCACGCAGGGUCCCAUCUAGCCACCUUUUGGUCCAUCCCACAAAUCAAUAAAUCCUGUGCAGAUAGAUACACCGAGCUUAUUUAGCUUUUUAGUGCCUCACUUUUAACUCUAAAAGGACAACCAAGGAUCAUCAGACAUAUGAGAAGCAAACAUGAAAGAUAGAGACCAAAAACCAAGGAAACAAAGACAUGGAAAAAGAACUCAGAAGAAAUAGACAAUGUAGGUAGAAGGGACAAAAGAAAACUUGAAAAUGACUCCAAGUUAUAUUCUCAAAGAUAAUUUGUUUCUAUUAAGCAAAAAAAAAGGUUUAUGUUUUUAAAGGAAGGAAGAAAAAUGGAGAACAGCCAAAAAGAACUCUUGGAAAUUAUAUACAUAUAUAUGAACAUUUAAAGUGUAAGUUAUUGGAAAAUAAUGUUGAAAAAAUCUUCCAAGAAAAUAAAAUAAAAAGAUAUAGGUGGAAGAGGAAAAGCUAAGAGACCCAGAGGAUCAAGAAAGGAGGUUCAACACCCAACUAAUACGAGUUCUAGCAAAAAAAAGAACAGCAAAACGGGAGGGAAGAAAAUUAUUAAGGCAAAACUACAAGAAUAUUUUGCAGAAUUGAUAUAUUUAAAGAGGCUACUCAGUGCCUAACACAAUAAAUAACAACAACAACAAAAAAAAAAAAACCCUACCAACAUACGUAUCAUUAUGAAAUUUCAGAGUUCUAUGGGUAGAAAAAAAGAUGUUAGAAAUUAUCAGAAAGGAAAACUUGGUCACAUAUAAAAGAUAAAAAUUACUUUAGGGAGUUUCACUUUCUGUUAGAAUGUAGUAAGUGGCAAGACAUGGUGCUCUUAUACCUACAAUAAGAAAAAGCCAGGAAAACUACAAGACAAUCAUUUAUUAGACCCACCCUAGAGCUGGGAAUGCAAAGAAACCUAAAUGAACUAAAUUCCAGAAAGCACUAAGUUUUUCAUAAUUUGCUUACAUCCUAGGAGAUCUAUCUUAGUCUGUUUGGGCUGCUGUGACAAAAUAUCUUAGACUGGGUAAUUUGUGAACAACAGAAUUUUUUUGUUUACAGUUCUGAAGGCUGGAAAGUCCAAGAUCAAGACGCCAGCAGAUAUGGUGUCUGGUGAGGGCACCAUCUGUUCCUCACAUGAUGGAAGGGCAAGAAGGGGCUAACAUGCUCCUUCCAGUCUCUUUUAUAAGGGCACUAAUGCCAUUAGUAGAGCUCUGUGUUCAUUACUUAAUCACCUCCCAAAAACCUACCUCUUAAUACACUGCCU
rnacentral:lncRNA from 1 species